rnacentral:tRNA from 1 species
GGUAAGGUGGCUGAAAGUCCAAGCGUUAGGCUGUAGACCUUUUUAUAGGGGUUUAAUUCCUCUUCUUAUCA